AGUUCUACUGCGGGAGGAGAAUAAAAGAAGGUAAAGAAGUAAAUAGUGAGAUACAGGGAAAAAAUAUAAUCUUGAUCGUUUUAGGGACCACUCCUUAACACUGUA